CCGCUACGUUCAACUCGUUGAUGGUAUAUAUCGCUCAAAUCACCUUGUGCUACAAAUGUCUCUUCGCACCAAGUAUAAGUUAUUUUCAUUGCCAUCUCCAAACAGUGGUUCUUCUUUAAAUCAGUUUUGGUCUCUCGGACUCUCACUAAAACCAACUAGGCUCCUUUAGUCUUUUUUAAUUUAAUGAAGCCCCCCUUCAUCACCACAUUUUAAAACUAAUGCGACUUGUGGUGGUGCAUAAUAAAGCUCCUCUAGUCUCAUAAUGCAACUAAUGCGACUUAUGGUGGUGCAUUGCGUGAUUUUCUGCUGAAGGUUGUAUAAUAUAGCAAGGAGGAGGACGGUGGAGGACUGAACACUAUUUGCCCCUUUGCUUUGCCAUAACUGUGGAGGAGGACUGUGCUUGUUCAAUAUAUCAGUCAGUUCUCCCUUUGUAUCGUCAAUUACCAGUCGUGGCACAACUGAUUGGGUGUGUUGGGGUCAGUGCUAGGUAGCUGGAAUAGAGAGCCCUCCCACAUGUAAACUUGGAAUCGAUGGCUUAUAUAUAGAUAAACAUAGUUUGCAUGUGUGAUCAGAGAAAGACAUGGCGAUUUUAUAUCCCUAUGGCUUUUGAGAGAGAGAGACCUGAUCACCUGACUCCCCAAUAUCAUCGACGACUCCCAACUUGCAGUUAGAAAUGUACAGCCACGUACAUAUAUCCUGUUUCUGAUCAGAAAGAAGUAUCAUUACUAGUGUGUGGUUGAAUGUAUCAUGCACUAACUACUCUAUUUUACUUUUCUACAUGCUAUGCAUUAAUAAGAAGCUAAAUUCUUUCACUCUUCCAUCUAAAGAGCUAUCAUAGAAAACCAGAGGACACGAGCGGAUUCUUGGUUCUCGGAAUACCGAGAAGCCGUUAUCUGCCAGUGAUGCAUGGAGAUCGAUCAAAGUAUUCCGCUGUAAAAUUAC
rnacentral:lncRNA from 1 species